rnacentral:misc_RNA from 1 species
UCUCCGUAGGUGAACCUGCGGAAGGAUCAUUACCGAGUUAUGGUCUCUCAGGCCCGAGCUCGCAACCUGUGGGUUUGUGACCUUGCUGCUUUGGCGGGCCUGCCACGAUGAGAGGCCGCCGGAAGCGCACCGCUUUGGGCCCGUGCCGGUCAGUAGUCACCUUAAAUUCUUAAUAACCCUGACACUUGAGUAUAGGGAAAUAUUGAAAAAAAACUUUCAACAACGCAUCUCUUAGUUCAGGAAUCUAAGAAGAAGGUAGCAGAGCUGAAGAGCACACGG